GUAGGGAAUAUUGGGCAAUGGAGGCAACUCUGACCCAGCCAUGCCGCGUGCAGGAAGACGGUCCUCUGGAUUGUAAACUGCUUUUGAAUGGGAAGAACAUACGGUUUGCGAACCGUACUGACGGUACUAUUAGAAUAAGCACCGUCUAACUCCGUGCCAGCAGCCGCGGUAAUACGGAGGGUGCAAGCGUUAUCCGGAUUUAUUGGGUUUAAAGGGUGCGUAGGCGGCCUUAUAAGUCGGUGGUUAAAGGUAGCAGCUUAACUGUUUUACAUGCCAUGAGUGCUGUAGGGCUUGAGUGAGUUGAGGGUAGCUAGAAUUCCCUGUGUAGCGGUGAAAUGCAAAGAUACGGGGAGGAAUACCGAUUGCGAAUGCAUGUUACUACGAAUUAACUGAUGCUGAGGCACGAAAGCGUGGGGAUCAAACAGGAUUAGAUCCCCGAGUAGUCC
rnacentral:rRNA from 1 species